AGCGAACGCUGGCGGCAGGCCUAACACAUGCAAGUCGAACGAACCCUUCGGGGUUAGUGGCGGACGGGUGAGUAACACGUGGGAACGUGCCUUUAGGUUCGGAAUAACUCAGGGAAACUUGUGCUAAUACCGAAUGUGCCCUUCGGGGGAAAGAUUUAUUGCCUUUAGAGCGGCCCGCGUCUGAUUAGCUAGUUGGUGAGGUAAUGGCUCACCAAGGCUACGAUCAGUAGCUGGUCUGAGAGGAUGACCAGCCACAUUGGGACUGAGACACGGCCCAAACCCCUACGGGAGGCAGCAGUGGGGAAUCUUGCGCAAUGGGCGAAAGCCUGACGCAGCCAUGCCGCGUGGAUGAUGAAGGUCUUAGGAUUGUAAAAUCCUUUCACCGGUGAAGAUAAUGACUGUAGCCGGAGAAGAAGCCCCGGCUAACUUCGUGCCAGCCGCCGCUGUAACAC
rnacentral:rRNA from 1 species